rnacentral:rRNA from 1 species
AACGAACGCUGGCGGCAUGCCUAACACAUGCAAGUCGAACGAGACCUUCGGGUCUAGUGGCGCACGGGUGCGUAACGCGUGGGAACCUGCCCUUAGGUUCGGAAUAACUCCCCGAAAGGGGUGCUAAUACCGGAUAAUGUCUUCGGACCAAAGAUUUAUCGCCUUUGGAUGGGCCCGCGUUGGAUUAGCUAGUUGGUAGGGUAAAAGCCUACCAAGGCGACGAUCCAUAGCUGGUCUGAGAGGAUGAUCAGCCACACUGGGACUGAGACACGGCCCAGACUCCUACGGGAAGCAGCAGUGGGGAAUGUUGGACAAUGGGCGAAAGCCUGAUCCAGCAAUGCCGCGUGAGUGAUGAAGGCCUUAGGGUUGUAAAGCUCUUUUACCCGGGAUGAUAAUGACAGUACCGGGAGAAUAAGCUCCGGCUAACUCCGUG